GGGCGACUAGCUCAGUUGGUUAGAGCGUCUGCUUGACGUGCAGAAGGUCACAGGUUCGACUCCUGUGUCGCCCACCA
rnacentral:tRNA from 1 species